rnacentral:lncRNA from 1 species
AAAGAGAAUGGUUCAAGGAAGAAGGAAAAGGCUGGUGAGGAGAUGGCUCAGGAGCAGGGUAAAUAGUCAAGACAAUUUUAAUUUCUAAACCCAAAACCAGAAGGAAAAUCAAUUGAGGUUGAUGGAUACAUCAGUGAUUUGGGAUUUCAGUCAUGCAAAUUUUCAGCUUCCUGUGUCUUGUUGCUUCUACAUUUCAUCCAGUCAUUGAAUGUUCCCAGUGACAAUUUCUCCAAAUAUUUUCCUGCUGAACCAUAAUAUCUGCUGGUGAGCCCCGUUCAUAAAUUGUUAAUGAGUUUCAAAACUUCAGAAAAUGGGACAGGUGAGUCACAGGCUCCUUUUAGACUGGGAGAACCACUGAAAGACAAAACUGAAAUAAGCAACUUGAUGGGUCACUGCCAAUGAGUGAGAAAACAAAGUAAUUAACCAGACUGAAAAAUCUGCAUAAAUAAAAAUUACUACUGCUACUACUAAAAAUAGCAAUUCUAUCUUCCUAAACAAUUUUGCAGUAUAAAGAUCUGUUAUAAUUGCC